rnacentral:rRNA from 2 species
CCCUUUGGGGUGUGACUGCGUACCUUUUGUAUAAUGGGUCAGCGACUUAUAUUCUGUAGCAAGGUUAACCGAAUAGGGGAGCCGGAGGGAAACCGAGUCUUAAUUGGGCGUUAAGUUGCAGGGUAUAGACCCGAAACCCGGUGAUCUAGCCAUGGGCAGGUUGAAGGUUGGGUAACACUAACUGGAGGACCGAACCGACUAAUGUUGAAAAAUUAGCGGAUGACCUGUGGCUGGGGGUGAAAGGCCAAUCAAACCGGGAGAUAGCUGGUUCUCCCCGAAAGCUAUUUAGGUAGCGCCUCGUGAAUUCAUCUCCGGGGGUAGAGCACUGUUUCGGCUAGGGGGCCAUCCCGGCUUACCAACCCGAUGCAAACUGCGAAUACCGGAGAAUGUUAUCACGGGAGACACACGGCGGGUGCUAACGUCCGUCGUGAAGAGGGAAACAACCCAGACCGCCAGCUAAGGUCCCAAAGUCAUGGUUAAGUGGGAAACGAUGUGGGAAGGCCCAGACAGCCAGGAUGUUGGCUUAGAAGCAGCCAUCAUUUAAAGAAAGCGUAAUAGCUCACUGGUCGAGUCGGCCUGCGCGGAAGAUGUAACGGGGCUAAACCAUGCACCGAAGCUGCGGCAGCGACACUCAGGUGUUGUUGGGUAGGGGAGCGUUCUGUAAGCCUGCGAAGGUGGCCUGUGAGGGUUGCUGGAGGUAUCAGAAGUGCGAAUGCUGACAUAAGUAACGAUAAAGCGGGUGAAAAGCCCGCUCGCCGGAAGACCAAGGGUUCCUGUCCAACGUUAAUCGGGGCAGGGUGAGUCGACCCCUAAGGCGAGGCCGAAAGGCGUAGUCGAUGGGAAACGGGUUAAUAUUCCCGUACUUGGUGUUACUGCGAAGGGGGGACGGAGAAGGCUAUGUUGGCCGGGCGACGGUU